rfam:Marinobacterium stanieri strain DSM 7027 genome assembly, contig: Ga0111666_109
ACUGGUUCUGGUGAGCAUCUCCCAGAACUCUUAAUAUGGAGUACAUUGAAUGGCCCGUAUAGCUGGCGUCAAUAUUCCUGAC